CUCCAGCUGACGAGCCCUAAAUGGGACGAAACGCACGUCCUGAAU
rnacentral:hammerhead_ribozyme from 1 species